rnacentral:rRNA from 1 species
GAUGAACGCUGGCGGCGUGCUUAACACAUGCAAGUCGAACGGAAAGGCCCAAGCUUGCUUGGGUGCUCGAGUGGCGAACGGGUGAGUAACACGUGGGUGAUCUGCCCUGCACUUUGGGAUAAGCCUGGGAAACUGGGUCUAAUACCGGAUAGGACCAUCGUUUAGUGUCGGUGGUGGAAAGUUUUUCGGUGUGGGAUGAGCUCGCGGCCUAUCAGCUUGUUGGUGGGGUAAUGGCCUACCAAGGCGUCGACGGGUAGCCGGCCUGAGAGGGUGUACGGCCACAUUGGGACUGAGAUACGGCCCAGACUCCUACGGGAGGCAGCAGUGGGGAAUAUUGCACAAGGGGCGCAAGCCUGAUGCAGCGACGCCGCGUGGGGGAUGACGGCCUUCGGGUUGUAAACUCCUUUCGCCAAGGACGAAGCGUUUUGUGACGGUACUUGGAGAAGAAGCACCGGCUAACUACGUG